rnacentral:rRNA from 1 species
UACGAAGGGGGCUAGCGUUGCUCGGAAUCACUGGGCGUAAAGGGCGCGUAGGCGGCCGUUCAAGUCGGGGGUGAAAGCCUGUGGCUCAACCACAGAAUUGCCCUCGAUACUGUACGGCUCGAGACCGGAAGAGGUGAGUGGAACUGCGAGUGUAGAGGUGAAAUUCGUAGAUAUUCGCAAGAACACCAGUGGCGAAGGCGGCUCAUUGGUCCGGUUCUGACGCUGAGGCGCGAAAGCGUGGGGAGCAAACAGG